GACGAACGCUGGCGGCGUGCUUAACACAUGCAAGUCGAACGGUGAACCUGGCUUCGGCCGGGGGAUCAGUGGCGAACGGGUGCGUAACACGUGGGCAACCUGCCCCAGACACUGGGAUAACCCCGGGAAACCGGGGCUAAUACCGGAUACUCCGGUCGGACCGCAUGAUCCGAUCGGGAAAGCUCCGACGGUCUGGGAUGGGCCCGCGGCCUAUCAGCUCGUUGGUGGGGUAACGGCCCACCAAGGCGACGACGGGUAGCUGGUCUGAGAGGACGAACAGCAACACUGGAACUGAGAUACGGUCCAGACUCCUACGGGAGGUAGCAGUGGGGAAUCUUGCACAAUGGGCGCAAGCCUGAUUCAGCGACGCCGCGCGGGGGACGAAGGCCCUCGGGUUGUAAACCCCUUUCGGCAGGGAAGAAGCGCGAGUGACGGUACCUGCAGAAGAAGCUCCGGCUAACUACGUGCCAGCCGCCGCCGUAACAC
rnacentral:rRNA from 1 species